AAAAAAGAGAGAGAAUAUAAAAUACAAAUACAAAUUUUUUAUUAUUUGAUUCAAAGGACAUUAAAUUAUUCUGUCAAAUAAUUAUAAAAGUCUCUAGAUACUAACUUUUAAUUCCUGUACUUACCUUGCCAUGUACCUAUAUUAAUUCAUAGACAGGCACCUGUCAUGCUCUGAGUGACUCUGAGUAAAUAUAAGAGUCUAAUAAUGAGCCUAGUUUUGAAGUCAUAAAUACAUAAACAAUCUACCACUGGCAUGUGAUAUGAAAAUACCUAUGGAUUCUGUAGGUGACAGAGUCACAGUUACUGCUAGUUUCAUUAGAGCUUGUUGACUACUUUCAUACUGGAUGGAAAUAACUAAAUUUCAACCAGGUGUCCAUGAACAUGAAAAUGUGCUUCUUUCUUGUCCCAGGCCACAGACUUCCUAAGUAUCAUUUCCAGGCUCACUUGGAGCGCCAGAUCAUGUCCUUUCACCUCUUACAAUGGCAGCUUUCAGUGAUUGAGUUCUGUGAAUCAUUCCAGUGAAUUGUUGGGCCUGAGAGGGUCAUGGGAACCCCCAAAUUUAAAGUCAAUUAUUCAGAAAUGGCCUGGGACCCUGAAGUGCAGCUGGCAUCCAAAGCAAGGCCAGUCUUAUAAAGGACUUCGUCCUUCACCUGUGGGGUCUGUGUUGACUCCAAGUACUUAAUGUCUACACUGAAUUAUAGAACACCCAGUUGGUGUCAGAACAGUUGGGUGCAAAUGGAACAAAACCUUUUUCCUUCCUAUCUCUGGUGUUGUCAGUGGACUUGGAGCCUAGGCCAAGGCCACCAUCUUUCAGCUCCCUCUAACCGAGUGCAGGCCUUGGUCUCCACUGUUGUGAUCCCCAAGACCAGGGACAUUGGUAAAGCCAACCGAUUCCUCAGCUUCCACUCUGCAUUUCUGGCCCUGGAAAGCAUACAACACUAUGUGGAAGACAUGACCAUGGUAGGGUUCAGAUCUGAGGUGUGCCCCAAGGGUCAUGUGAGAGACAAUUCAAGAAAUCUUACAGGUGAAAUGGUUGGGUUAUGAGAUCCUGAACCUAAUCAGGACAUCAAUCCCCUGAUAGGGAUUAACUGGGUGGUAACUAUAGGCAGGGAGGGUGUGGCUGAAGGAGGGAGGGCAUGGGGCAUGUGCCUUUGGGGUAUACAUUUUGUCCCUGAUGAGGAUUUCCCGCCCUUCUCUGUGUCCCACCUUCCUGGUGCAAUGUUCUGAGCUGCUUUCCUCUGCUGUGCCCUGUUACCAAGAAACAAUGGAGUUGGCCAUCUAUGAAUGCAGACCUCUGAAACCACCAGGAUGACUCAGGAAGUAAUCCUGAGGCUCAGAGAGGAAAAGUCUCACGGUCGCCGAAGUUAAUAAGUGGCAAAUCCUGCUGUCUCCAUACCUGUGUUCCUCCACUGCACAACAUCACCCCCCAAAAUAAAAUCUUUCGCUUCUCCCAUUGUCUGUGACUCCUGUUCCCUCAACUUCACACAGGAACCAAACGUAUCCUUCCAUACCCCACCCACCCUUUCAAUAAAUAUUUAUCAAAUUGUA